rnacentral:lncRNA from 1 species
GGGAACUCAAUGCGCAAAUUUCCAUUUUGAGUCAAAGUGUGUGGGUCCAGCACCAAACAAUGCUGUUUCAUUUGCCAUUUAAAAAACAAAAGCCAUUGAAUGGCAUUUCUUUAGUAAAAACCCUAGAUUUUAGCCCACCUUUCAUUUGCUCUGCCAUUUUUUAGAAAAAGAAAAUAACACCCCCCGAAAUCUCUGCUAGGAUUUCAACCCAGCUCUGGGGAAGCUGCAAUGGACUCCGACGUCGAUCACGGCGUGAACCCAGGUAUGUCUCUUUCCCUUCAGUUUUUAUUCUAAAUCAAUUUGUAAAAAACACAAAAAAAUAAAAGAAUCGCAUAUUCUAAAAGAAAUCUCGGAAAAGAGUGUAAAACAACCUCUUAAACUUGGAUUUGAUAUUUGAUUGCUAUUGGUUUUCUCUUUGUAUUCUUUUUCUCUCGUAUUUGAAAAAAAUAAAAAAAAGGUCCCAUUUACAUUCGGUUUGAUUCGGUUUUAUAGCCGAAUAGAAAAACAAAAAAACUUCUUUGCUGCUCCUUUUGCACUUGUUUGCAGGUUCGUUACUAAGCACGUAUCUGAUGUGGCUUAGUGAAGGAGCGUAUGACACGGAGGUGGCAUUUGGUGCUCGAGGGAGGCAUGCGGCGGCUGAGACCUUUAGGUAGAUUAGGGUUUUUUCAAAAAAUGUUAAAGUUUUGGGCUGGAAUUUUGGGCUAGGUUAGGUGUUUGGAUUGGGUUUCAAGUUUGGGCCUAUUGUAAUUGGGUUUGGGUGUAUUUGUUUUUGUUUGUAUGUUUAAUUUUUAAAUGGUUUGGGCCAGGCAAUUUUGGGCCAUAACAGCUGCUCCUCUUUGCUCGUUGUCAUGUAACGAUAAUAGAGUAAAGACUUCAAAUGGGUCAAUUUUGCCCGGUUUUUUCCAAGGUUUGUCUUCGCGAUACUCCCUUUCUUCAAGUAACCUCACGUUAACUCACUACAUCUUCAAGGGCAUAGGAGCUCGUUUUAAUCUGCUUUGCUAUUGCUUUGGGAUAAGAUCUGUAUUUUUCAGCUUGUUACACUACUGCUUAGGGGAUUACGGUUUGCUGUCUUUGAUCUGCUCCCCUACUAUUUAGGGGAGAUCUAUAUUUUCCAGCCUGUUACCCUACUGCUUAGGGGGUUGAGGCUCCCUGUCUUCGAUCUGCUCCACUACUGUUUAGGGGAGAUCUGUAUUUUCCAGCCUGUUACCCUACUGCUUAGGGGGUUAAGGCUCACUAUUUUCGAUCUGCUCCACUAUUGUUUAGGGAGAUCUGUAUUUUCUAGCCUGUCACCUUAUUGCUUUGGGGGUUAAAGCUCGCUGUCUUGACCGAUGCCCCUGUCUUCUGAGGAACAUGAUCUGUAAAAUCGG